ACGGCUCAGUAACACGUGGACAACCUACCCAAAGGUCUGGGAUAACUCCGGGAAACUGGGGAUAAUACCGGAUAGGUCAAGAGUACUGGAAGGGUUUUUUGAUUGAAAGCUCUGGCGCCUUUGGAUGGGUCUGCGGCUGAUUAGGUUGACGCCGGUGUAAAGUACCGGCGUGGCGAUUAUCAGUACGGGUUGUGGGAGCAAGAGCCCGGAGAUGGAUUCUGAGACACGAAUCCAGGCCCUACGGGGCGCAGCAGGCGCGAAAACUCUACAAUGCAGGCAACUGCGAUAGGGGAACAUCGAGUGGCAUCUACAUUAGGUGUCUGUCCAGCUGUCUAAAAAACGGCUGUUAGCAAGGGCCGGGCAAGACCGGUGCCAGCCGCCGCGGUAAUACCGGCGGCUCGAGUGGUGGCCGAUAUUAUUGAGUCUAAAGGGUCCGUAGCCGGCUUUGCAAGUCUUGUGGGAAAUCCAGCGGCUUAACCGUUGGGCGUCUGCGGGAUACUACAUUGCUUGGGACUGGGAGAGGUAGGAGGUACUCAGGGGGUAGGAGUGAAAUCCUGUAAUCCUCUGGGGACCACCGGUGGCGAAGGCGUCCUACCAGAACAGGUCCGACGGUGAGGGACGAAAGCUAGGGGCACGAACCGGAUUAGAUACCCGGGUAGUCCUAGCCGUAAACGAUGCCCGCUAGGUGUCACGGCAGUCGUGAACUGCCGUGGUGCCGUAGGGAAGCCGUGAAGCGGGCCACUUGGGAAGUACGACCGCAAGGUUGAAACUUAAAGGAAUUGGCGGGGGAGCAC
rnacentral:rRNA from 1 species